GGUCAACGUGUUACAAAUGUUUGCCAAAAAUGACUUUUAAAUGUUCAAAAGUGCGACAGGAAGUGCCUUCAGCUCACCCCUAACAAAGCUCGGGUUCGUGGGAACCUGCCUGUCCUGACGAAAGGUCUUCUGCUGGACACACGGUGGACUCUUGAGAGAAGGGGAGUGCCGCAUGCUUGGAAAAGGCCAACUGGAGAAGACUGAUGCUUGUCCUGCUCCACAAGGUGGCAUGCUUGACUGAAUGAGCCAUAUCUAAGUGUCAGUGGGGAGAAUGCUGGAAAGGAGGAAGGCCAUGGACUACUACUGCGUGAUGAACACACAUUAUCUACCUCCUUUAGUGUAGGGUGGAGCUGCAGAUCCACCGCAGAUGGAGGAAGGGGAGCCGCGUCAGGUGUCGCCGCGCCGCGACCCCAUUUCACCCGCCGCCGCUACCCGUCUAGGGCCAGUUCUCCGCCUGGCCAAUCUGGGCCCUACUGCCUUGCCCAGCAGCUGGCACCAGCCAGGAGUCAUCAGGGCCGCCUUAAAAAGACCCCGGACGUUGAGGCUCAUCUUUUAAACAUUUCUCUUAUAGCUUGAUCAAGCUGUCAGGCAAGAAGGAAGUGGAGAGCAGUGAGACUGUGGACCCCCGAGGAGAAGCAAUGAGAUGGAACCUCGCCUCUUCUCCCUAAUGGACAAAAGCAUUUGAGCAGCAUCUGCUGGCUCGGUGGGGCGGGACAGCUGGUGUUGUGAAUCAGGCCGCCACAUUGCAGGACACGGCUACUUCCCAACACCAGGGUCCCUCCUUCACUGCUCACUUCUGCUGCAGACAUUCAUUCA